CCCCGCCCCUGCGCGCGGCUCGCCUCCAGCCGCGGGGUGCCGGCGGGCUACGCUGCGCCCUUCGGCGCCCACCCCGGCGGGGGCCCGGGCGGGGGUGUGUGUCCUCCAGGAGCUGCGGGGACCCCUGCGGCCGGACCUUGCGACCCGUUUUCCAAUCCCGCGGUGGCGACGGCGACAGCAAUGGUAAUAGUAUCGCCAGGAGAAAACAGAGGCCUCCCCAGCCACACUGGAAGGUACCAGCCAUUGCUGUCGCUCUCGGGAACUGCUACACCAGCCUCCUUCCUGGUGUCCUGUGCCUGCCCCUUCCCACUGCCAUCAGCAGCCAGAGGGGUCCUGUUAAAAGCAAGGCAGCUACACACCGCCCCCCCCGCCCCGCACAGAACCUGCAAUGGCCUCCCCACCAUGCUUAGUCCACAACCCGACCAGAUACGAUCCAGCAACUCUAUUUCUGGGUCGGCACCCACAAGAAUUGAACGCAGGGACCCAAACAGAUAUUUGCACCCUAAGUUGAUAGCAUCAUUAUUCCCGAGAGCCAAGCAAUGGAAGCCAUCCAAGUGUCUGCCCACUGAUGAAUAAAGCAAAUGUGGCUUCUGCAUACGAUGGAAAAUGACUCAGCCUUAAAAACGAAAGAAAUUUUGACACAGGCUACAAACUCUGAGCCUUGAAGAUGCUGUGCUAAAUGAGAUAAGGCAGUCAAGGGCCGAUAUGGUAUCUGAAAGUUUCAUUGGAUUCAGGUUAAUAAAGAUGCUUUCUGAAGAGGAUGCUGCUGACAAGGACAGUGUUAAGAGGAUCUGUUUUCCACAUAGACCUUCCACCCAGCUCUCUCCUAGAUAUUCAAGCAAGAGAAAUGAAAAUGGAUGUCCACACAAAGACUUGUACUUGGAGGGGCAUUAUUCAUAAUGUCCCCAAACUGGAUAUUUGGGACAAGCCAAAUAUCAACAGGUGAACGGGAAACAAUUUGCAAUACAUCCAUAUGGUGAUUACCGCUCAGCAAUGAAAAGGAGCUACACCUUAGAUCCGUCUCAGAAUCACCGUGCUGAGUAAAAGAAACCAGAUGCGAAGGGCCACCUGCUGUAUACGGUGACUGAAAGCAGACCACUAACUGCCUGGAACCUAGGAAAGGCGGAAUUGACUGGAAGGUUGCAGCAGGAGGGAACAUUCCAGAAUGAUGGACAUUUCCUUCCUGUAUCUCGAAUAUGGUGGGGAUGAUACAGGCAUAUAUGUCAGAACUCAUCACAGUGGCUACUUUAAAUGGGUGUGUUGUAUUGCAUUCAAUUAUAUCCCGGUGGGGUUUCAAGCAAAAGAGAAUCUGUGUA